GAGGAAGUAGGGGAUCGCAAGACCUUGCGCUUUUGGAGCGGCCGAUGCCUGAUUAGCUUGUUGGUGAGGUAAAAGCUCACCAAGGCUCCGAUCAGUAGCUGGUCUGAGAGGACGACCAGCCACACUGGGACUGAGACACGGCCCAGACUCCUACGGGAGGCAGCAGUGGGGAAUUUUGGACAAUGGGGGCAACCCUGAUCCAGCCAUGCCGCGUGAGUGAAGAAGGCCUUCGGGUUGUAAAGCUCUUUCAGCCGGAACGAAACGGUCACGGUUAAUACCCGUGACUACUGACGGUACCGGAAGAAGAAGCACCGGCUAACUACGUGCCAGCAGCCGCGGUAAUACGUAGGGUGCGAGCGUUAAUCGGAAUUACUGGGCGUAAAGCGUGCGCAGGCGGUUUUGUAAGUCAGAUGUGAAACCCCUGGGCUUAACCUGGGAACUGCGUUUGAAACUACAAAGCUAG
rnacentral:rRNA from 1 species